GCAUUGAUGGCCGAGUGGUCUAAGGCGCUCGACUCAAGUUCGAGUAUCUUCGGAUGCGUGGGUUCAAAUCCCACUCUACGUC
rnacentral:tRNA from 1 species